GGAUGAGAUGCUGAAUGUAGGCGAAAGGUUCUUUGAUCUCGCCGAGGAGGAAAAGCAAGACCAUGCAGGAAAAGAAUUGUUUGAUCCAAUAAGGUGUGGAACAGGCUUUAAUAACGGACUGGGCAAUGUGUUUCUCUGGAGGGAUUAUCUCAAGGUUCAUGUUCAUCCCCACUUUCAUGCUCCUCACAAACCCGCUGAUUUCAGGUAAUUGAGAUCAUGCUCAUUGCCAUUUGUAAGUCCACUUGAUAAUCAAAUUUAAAGUAUGUUUCACAAUGUUUCUGCUCACCGUUAUAAAAAUGUUUUCUUUAAAAGUAUUUUUAAAAGAAUUAUAUUUUAAGUAUUUUUUUAGAAAAUACUCUCGGUAAUUUUCAAUACCAAAAGUGAUUUUUUAUAUUUUUAAAAAUAUUUCCUGAAUUUUAUUAAACAUUUAAUUUUGUUUUCCAAAAAUACUUUUAAUGUUAAAACACUUUUAAAAUUAUUGUCAACUAGUUUCUUACAAAAAGUGAUAUUUGUAACCAUUUUUCAAUGACAGUGUUUUCUUUUAAAAGAAUUAAUUAUUAAGCGUCUCUAAUAACCAUUACAAGUGAAUUUUUUAAUUAUUUAGAAGUGAUUUUUUGGAUUUAACGGCUAACUAUUCUUCAAAAAUGUUUUCUUUUAGCUAGAAGUGUUUUUUUGAAAACAUUUUCAAAUGUCCUCUUAUUGCAUGAAAAAUCUCAAAUUUAGGAAAAACCAAAUGAUGGAUCUAAUUCAGCUAACUUUUUUAAUCCCAAAAAACUGAAGCAAAUUUUGCAUGCACCAGCAGCGCUACCAUGAUUGCAAAAAUGAACCAAAGUCCUUGGUGCAUGAUGAACUGCAUCUUAUUGUGCAUAAAGUUAAUCUCACCUCACCUCAUGGUUAGAAGGUUUUUUGUUUUUGGGUUUUUCCAUAUCAUUAUGACUCACUACCCUAUAUAUGGUGUGUCUGCUGUUUUUGAAAUCUACCUUUCCUUGAAGCCUAGCAUAAAGUUAAGCAAGAGGAAGCAGUUCCAUAAAAAAAUUCCAAAGAAACCUUUUCAUUAUAGAAUGCAAUUGUGUGAAAGGACCCAAUUGCAACCCAACAAAAAGCUUCUGGAUAGGAUACUCAAAUCCAAAAAUGCAUGGCUGCUAAUUAAUUACAUUAUUUUGAAUUUUAAAAAUAAGAUGGUCUGUUAUCAUGGGUUUAGAGAGACUUCAGAAGAAUACUGCAAAAAAGCUCGAGACGUGGCUGAAGAAUUGCUAAAAGGGAUAUCCAAAAGCUUGGGGCAGGAAGAAAACUACAUACAUAAGAAAAUGGAUGUAGAAUCAGGAUCGCAGCUGCUUGUUAUGAAUCUUUAUCCACCAUGCCCGCGGCCAGAACUUGUAAUGGGGAUGCCCCCUCAUUCGGAUCAUGGCAUCUUGACACUCCUGAUGCAGAAUGAUGUGUGUGGCCUUCAAAUUCUACACAACGGCAAGUGGGUGCCCGUCAACCCCCCUCCUUAUUCUUUUCUUGUCAACACAGGGGAUCAUAUGGAGGUAUGUAUAUCAUUCUCAGGCUUCAUUUCUCUCUAUAUAAAGUAGAUCUUCUAAGAAGAAUUUUUUUGUUAAUGUAUGAAUUGUAAUCCCAUGAAUGCAGAUACUGACAAAUGGGCGGUACGAAAGUGUGGUGCACCAAGUUGUGGUGAAUAGCAAUGCCACAAGGAUGACCAUAGCAACAGGACAUGGACCACCACUGGGCGCCAUUAUAAGCCCAGCAGCAGAGCUGGUAGACAGUGAAAACCAUCCCCCAAAGUACCAGGGAAUGAAAUAUAGGGACUACAUCGAGCUUCA
rnacentral:lncRNA from 1 species